CACAGGGUGGUUCAGGUGAUAAGGAAGGUAGUGGUUGGAGGAUAGAUGGAGAGGAAACGGAAGGAGAUGGAGAAGGGCAAGUCUGAGCUGAGAGUGGCCAUGGAGGAGCUUCGUUUGUGCAGCUCAGGAGAUGGGGAGGAGGAUCAGGUGCAGGUGCAGCAGGUGAAAGUGCAGGAGCAGCCCAAGUCAUCCACCAUGGACCUCCUCUCUGUCUCCAAGCAGCUCAUCCAUGUCCUUGAUGAGAUUGGACCAACGUUGCUAGUCCUGAGGCAGGACAUUCAGCAAAAUGUUCAGAGAUUACAAGAUCUGCAUGAAAGAGACUCUUCCAAAUAUGCUAGCUUGACGACGAUAGUUACUGAGGAAAUUGAGCAAGGGACAGCAAAGAAGACCAAAAGCUGCACCAGAGCUAUCAUCUGGCUGUCUAGGUCGAUAAAUUUCUCAAAAUAUUUACUGGAGAAGCUGCUAAAAACACCUGAGUCAAGCCUGGAAGAGAUUGUCGAAGAAGCCUAUGGAAAUACUCUGAAGCCAUGGCAUGGCUGGAUCUCAUCAGCUGCUUACAAGUUGUCAGGUAGCACUGAAGCUCAUCCCAGAAAGAGAAUUCUUCAUAGCGCUGCUGAUGGGUAAUUGUCAAGACUUUGAGGAUCUUGCAGAAGAUGCCAAGACGUUGGCCUAUGCUGUCCAGCCCCUGUUAGAGGAGAUCGAUGCAAUUUCGGCUAAGCACAACUUGGACAAGAUGAAAUCCUCUUAGGACACAAGGAUUUAGCCGAUCACCUGAUGAUUGUACAUAGCUGCAUACAUAACCUGACCUUGCCUUGUGCUUGUAAAAGUGAAAGGUUUAAUUUUGGGUUUGCUUGUAGAUUUCUAGUGCCAAAUUGAAUGUGUAAAAAAUAGUGUUCAGUGUGUCCCUGUAGUAGUUUUCAGUGCAUGUAUACCCCUCAUGACCCAAGCUCAGAGUCCUUCUAGUGACAAAUUGAACAGUGCAUGUUUCUUGGAUUUUUUUUGACAAACUUCCUGUGGAUUUUUAGAUGUGUUUGUCAUACCUUGCAAUUAUUGAUUCCAGAGGACAAACACAUCUAAAAUCCAGAGGACGUUUUUCUUUUUCAAAAUAAGUCGCGAGUAUGACAAAAUUUAUAGGGGUAUGUAAACAAAACUACACAACAGACUCAAUCAAGACCUGUUUAGGUAAGCUAAAGGUUGUAUAUUGACUUUUAAAGCCUACUUCAUCCAAACAAAUUAACUUUUACACCAGCUUAUAUAGGGCAAAAGAAG